rnacentral:rRNA from 2 species
CAGGACGAACGCUGGCGGCGUGCCUAAUACAUGCAAGUCGAACGAACUCUGGUAUUGAUUGGUGCUUGCAUCAUGAUUUACAUUUGAGUGAGUGGCGAACUGGUGAGUAACACGUGGGAAACCUGCCCAGAAGCGGGGGAUAACACCUGGAAACAGAUGCUAAUACCGCAUAACAACUUGGACCGCAUGGUCCGAGUUUGAAAGAUGGCUUCGGCUAUCACUUUUGGAUGGUCCCGCGGCGUAUUAGCUAGAUGGUGGGGUAACGGCUCACCAUGGCAAUGAUACGUAGCCGACCUGAGAGGGUAAUCGGCCACAUUGGGACUGAGACACGGCCCAAACUCCUACGGGAGGCAGCAGUAGGGAAUCUUCCACAAUGGACGAAAGUCUGAUGGAGCAACGCCGCGUGAGUGAAGAAGGGUUUCGGCUCGUAAAACUCUGUUGUUAAAGAAGAACAUAUCUGAGAGUAACUGUUCAGGUAUUGACGGUAUUUAACCAGAAAGCCACGGCUAACUACGUGCCAGCAGCCGCGGUAAUACGUAGGUGGCAAGCGUUGUCCGGAUUUAUUGGGCGUAAAGCGAGCGCAGGCGGUUUUUUAAGUCUGAUGUGAAAGCCUUCGGCUCAACCGAAGAAGUGCAUCGGAAACUGGGAAACUUGAGUGCAGAAGAGGACAGUGGAACUCCAUGUGUAGCGGUGAAAUGCGUAGAUAUAUGGAAGAACACCAGUGGCGAAGGCGGCUGUCUGGUCUGUAACUGACGCUGAGGCUCGAAAGUAUGGGUAGCAAACAGGAUUAGAUACCCUGGUAGUCCAUACCGUAAACGAUGAAUGCUAAGUGUUGGAGGGUUUCCGCCCUUCAGUGCUGCAGCUAACGCAUUAAGCAUUCCGCCUGGGGAGUACGGCCGCAAGGCUGAAACUCAAAGGAAUUGACGGGGGCCCGCACAAGCGGUGGAGCAUGUGGUUUAAUUCGAAGCUACGCGAAGAACCUUACCAGGUCUUGACAUACUAUGCAAAUCUAAGAGAUUAGACGUUCCCUUCGGGGACAUGGAUACAGGUGGUGCAUGGUUGUCGUCAGCUCGUGUCGUGAGAUGUUGGGUUAAGUCCCGCAACGAGCGCAACCCUUAUUAUCAGUUGCCAGCAUUAAGUUGGGCACUCUGGUGAGACUGCCGGUGACAAACCGGAGGAAGGUGGGGAUGACGUCAAAUCAUCAUGCCCCUUAUGACCUGGGCUACACACGUGCUACAAUGGAUGGUACAACGAGUUGCGAACUCGCGAGAGUAAGCUAAUCUCUUAAAGCCAUUCUCAGUUCGGAUUGUAGGCUGCAACUCGCCUACAUGAAGUCGGAAUCGCUAGUAAUCGCGGAUCAGCAUGCCGCGGUGAAUACGUUCCCNGGCCUUGUACACACCGCCCGUCACACCAUGAGAGUUUGUAACACCCAAAGUCNGUGGGGUNACCUUUUAGGAACCAGCCGCCU